CCUACGGGGGGCAGCAGUGAGGAAUAUUGGUCAAUGGCCGAGAGUCUGAACCAGCCGAGUCGCGUGAGGGAAGACGGCCCUACGGGUUGUAAACCUCUUUUGUCGGGGAGCAAAGCGAGUCACGUGUGCCUCAUUGCGAGUACCCUACGAAAAAGCAUCGGCUAACUCCGUGCCAGCAGCCGCGGUAAUACGGAGGAUGCGAGCGUUAUCCGGAUUUAUUGGGUUUAAAGGGAGCGUAGAUGGGUUGUUAAGUCAGUUGUGAAAGUUUGCGGCUCAACCGUAAAAUUGCAAUUGAUACUGGCAGUCUUGAGUACAGUUGAGGUAGGCGGAAUUCGUGGUGUAGCGGUGAAAUGCUUAGAUAUCACGAAGAACUCCGAUUGCGAAGGCAGCUUACUAAACUGCCACUGACAUUGAUGCUCGAAAGUGUGGGUAUCAAACAGGAUUAGAUACCCUAGUAGUC
rnacentral:rRNA from 1 species